UGGUCGGAGUUAGCUCAAGCAGUUACCGCCUCAUGCAGGACUUUCUAUCUGUCCAUCUCUGCGCUGGGGUUCGAGACCCGCGGGUGCUUACUGACCCUUUU
ensembl:misc_RNA Vault Vault RNA